ensembl:snoRNA SNORD22 Small nucleolar RNA SNORD22
UCCCAGUGAAGAGACAGUCACACACCUUACCUCCUAUCCUGGUCCCAGGGCCUAUAAAGGGAAACACACUGGGGAUGACUGGGGAAGGGAGGGGAGGAAAGCAUUUUUGAGAAGGAACCAUCUGAGAGAU